rnacentral:tRNA from 2 species
UGGAGCAAAGCUCAGUUGGCAGAGCAUUCGCUUGAUAAGCGAACGGCCGGUGGUUCGAGUCCACCUGCUCCAA